rnacentral:lncRNA from 1 species
GUUCUUUCACACAGGAGCAGAUCAUGCAUGACAACUCCUUUUACCUUCAAAACUGUCAUCGCUUGUCCAUCUCGUGCCCUAUUAAAUGCUGUGAAAGACAAGCCAAGGGUCAGUGGAGCCCCCAAAUGGCAUCAACAAAAGGAAUAUAUAACUGCUCCAAAUAAAAGUGUACAAGCCAGAGCACAAAGGCUCCCCCGAAAAAGAAGUCAUUCCUGAAUAAUAUGAAUGUAUGGCACAAAACUACCAAAAUAUAAGAAAAAUGAACCACACUGAAGAAGAAUGAGCAGAUACUACAAACACAUUUGGCUCCUAAAAAACUGCAUAUAAAGGAAUGAUAAGAAAGAAAACGUGAGAUAGAUAGAUGUAAAAUUACUGAAGUGUUAACAGUUUACAAAGAAAGCUUGAAGAAGAACAGAUCUAUAUGAAAAAGGAAGAGGCAGAUUUGAAAAGGAGCUAAUAGGACUUCCUAGAAAUGCAAGAAAGAAAAAAAACCACAAGCAUCUAAAACUCAGUGGUUAGCUUAAACAUGGGAUCAAAAAAAAAUGUUUAACUGUAGCAAGAAUUGGUGAACUGGAAG